AGGCUUAACACAUGCAAGUCGAGCGGGCAUAGCAAUAUGUCAGCGGCAGACGGGUGAGUAACGCGUGGGAACGUACCUUUUGGUUCGGAACAACUGAGGGAAACUUCAGCUAAUACCGGAUAAGCCCUUACGGGGAAAGAUUUAUCGCCGAAAGAUCGGCCCGCGUCUGAUUAGCUAGUUGGUGAGGUAAUGGCUCACCAAGGCGACGAUCAGUAGCUGGUCUGAGAGGAUGAUCAGCCACAUUGGGACUGAGACACGGCCCAA
rnacentral:rRNA from 2 species